UACAGAGGGGGCAAGCGUUAUUCGGAAUUAUUGGGCGUAAAGGGCGCGUAGGCGGCUUGGCAAGUGGAAGGUGAAAUCCCUCGGCUUAACCGAGGAACUGCCCUCCAAACUGCUUGGCUUGAGACCGGGAGAGGUGAGUGGAAUUCCCAGUGUAGCGGUGAAAUGCGUAGAGAUCAUGAGGAAGACCAGUGGCGAAGGCGGGUCUCUGGACAGUUCCUGACACUGAGGCACGAAGGCCAGGGGAGCAAACGGG
rnacentral:rRNA from 1 species